rnacentral:lncRNA from 1 species
AUGGAGACCGGCACGGCUUCACCGGGCGCAGCUGAAGAACUCGGGAAUGUUUGGAUCAAAUCGGAGCCUGACGGAGACGUAGAGAUCCAGUCGUAUCCGGUCCUCAAGCAGCUGUCCGUCGCACUGACCGACUGCAGGCUGUGGCUGGACGGGCGGGACUUCCUGUCUCUGGGAUUGUCCAGUCCUGGGCCUAGAGGGCUAGGGUGGUCCACUGUCCUGCUUGUUUUCCCACUAUACCCACUGCUGAUUACCUGGACCAGGGAUGAUCAGCUGAUCAGAAGGUCCUCCAGACUCAGGUCACAUGACUUGUCUGGUAGAAAGGAAAAUGGCUCCUUUUAAAUCUGAUAUUCUGCAGCCAUCACAAAUAAAAUAUUCAUGAGGAAAUCCCAAACAUCAAGUGUCUCAUAGUUCUGUGAAGAGCCCACAUCAACUUUAGUGGUUCACUGAUACUGGAAACAGUUCU